AGGUGUGUGUUCUACCAUGGAUCAGUGUGAGGACAGAGAGCAGGGAGUCCCUCCCUCUAAAAGGACUCUGUGUGGAGAACAUGAGAACCAGACCAAAGCUCAGAGCUCUGACUCUGAGUUUCCAUCCAGCUGUGUGUCCCUGAAGAGUGAUCAUUCUAUGUUUGAACCCAUUUCAUUUCAACCUGGAGCAGGAAGUGCUGAUGAGGGCGUCAGCCAGCAGAGCUCCCAGGUUCUCCGUGGAGGCUCCGCCCCUCAGCAUCAAACACA